rnacentral:rRNA from 1 species
AGUCACUGACAUUAGAUACCCGUGUAGUCCUAGCCGUAAACGAUGCGGACUGGGUGUUGGGAUGGCUUUGAGCUGUUCCGGUGCCGAAGGGAAGCUGUUAAGUCCGCCGCCUGGGAAGUACGGUCGCAAGACUGAAACUUAAAGGAAUUGGCGGGGAGCACCACAACGCGUGGAGCCUGCGGUUUAAUUGGAUUCAACGCCGGAGAUCUCACCAGGGGCGACAGCAGUAUGAUGGCCAGGUUGAUGGCCUUGCUUGACAAGCUG